AUUGAACGCUGGCGGCAGGCCUAACACAUGCAAGUCGAGCGGAUGAAGGGAGCUUGCUCCUGGAUUCAGCGGCGGACGGGUGAGUAAUGCCUAGGAAUCUGCCUGGUAGUGGGGGAUAACGUCCGGAAACGGGCGCUAAUACCGCAUACGUCCUGAGGGAAAGUGGGGGAUCUUCGGACCUCACGCUAUCAGAUGAGCCUAGGUCGGAUUAGCUAGUUGGUGGGGUAAAGGCCUACCAAGGCGACGAUCCGUAACUGGUCUGAGAGGAUGAUCAGUCACACUGGAACUGAGACACGGUCCAGACUCCUACGGGAGGCAGCAGUGGGGAAUAUUGGACAAUGGGCGAAAGCCUGAUCCAGCCAUGCCGCGUGUGUGAAGAAGGUCUUCGGAUUGUAAAGCACUUUAAGUUGGGAGGAAGGGCAGUAAGUUAAUACCUUGCUGUUUUGACGUUACCAACAGAAUAAGCACCGGCUAACUUCGUG
rnacentral:rRNA from 1 species